GCAUGUAACACUUAAUUGUUUUGAUUCCACAUAGUUGUAAUGCUGAUACUUUUGAAAAAAUGUUUAAAGUAUGGAGCAUUAAAUGCGUGAAUCUUAAAAAAACUAAACACUUUCUUUUGAUCUUUCAAACGUAAAGGCUGGAGUGGUCGACAACCGAUGUUGAAGUAGUAAACCCAUGUUAUGCCAAGCAUAUGCACAGGCUUGUGGGUAACUAUUUUAGGUCGGUCAUAUCGGCUCCGAUCGAC
rnacentral:lncRNA from 1 species